UCGCGCGCAUCCGCCUGGUCUUUCAACCCCAACAAUAGGCCCUCUCUUUGGGGCCUUGCCGGAGGUUUUGAGGACCAGAACUCAAGCUCUCUCCACUCACCUUAAGGCUCACAUCUCCACUUUAAGCAUCUAUACUCCUCCUUGUGGUCACCGCUUCCGCCGAGUGACCGAGCUAUGACUGCGACUCCACGCUUUCACACCCCUCGUAAGUCCUAAUCUAUGGGACCAUCAGGUGUGGCA
rnacentral:rRNA from 1 species